rnacentral:rRNA from 1 species
CCUACGGGAGGCAGCAGUGAGGAAUAUUGGUCAAUGGACGAGAGUCUGAACCAGCCAAGUAGCGUGAAGGAUGACUGCCCUAUGGGUUGUAAACUUCUUUUAUAUGGGAAUAAAAUGUUCCACGUGUGGGAUUUUGUAUGUACCAUAUGAAUAAGGAUCGGCUAACUCCGUGCCAGCAGCCGCGGUAAUACGGAGGAUCCGAGCGUUAUCCGGAUUUAUUGGGUUUAAAGGGAGCGUAGGUGGAUUGUUAAGUCAGUUGUGAAAGUUUGCGGCUCAACCGUAAAAUUGCAGUUGAAACUGACAGACUUGAGUACAGUAGAGGUGGGCGGAAGUCGUGGUGUAGCGGUGAAAUGCUUAGAUAUCACGAAGAACUCCGAUUGCGAAGGCAGCUCACUGGACUGCAACUGACACUGAGGCUCGAAAGUGUGGGUAUCAAACAGGAUUAGAUACCCCUGUAGUC